CUCUGUUCCUUCUCUUCUCCUCUCUGUUUAUCCUGAUCUCAUAUAUUUGAGUUCUUUUGUGUGAGAGUUUCAUAAAAACCUUGUUAGUUUGUUGAAUUGAGAGAGAAGGUGAUGCUGCUGCUAUCGAUUGAGUUUUGGAAGAAGCGGAAAAGGGUGAUUUGACUAAAUGGGAAAAGAUAUCAGCGUCGUUGAUGUUGAAGAAGUGUGAGAAAAGACUAAUUGCAAAGUGCACGUUACAAGGGGAUUACACAUAAAGUUGAACCAAUUGGCUAAUUUCUUAGAGUGCUCGCAUAAAGUUUAAUCAAGCUACGUAUAUCCCUUGAGUCCGUGACCUAUGAGAAAGAAGAGUUGGGGUGUUAGACUUGUUAAAUCAAGUUGAACCAAUUGGGCGUGUAAAGAAAAGAUCUGCCAUUAAAGCCCAUAAGAGAAGUAACCAGUUCUUUCCAUGCGUACACCCCUAUCUCUUACCUUCUUUUCUUCCAUUGUCUGGUAACCCCAUUCCUCUUUGCUUUCAAACCACCAACAUCAUCGCCACUCUCGGCCUCUCUGUACUGCUACCCAUCUCUAUCUUUUCUUUUCAUUAUCCCUGUCAAAAACAUCAUCUGGCUGCUUUUUGUUUCUCUUGACCCCAUUUAACCUAGCCCUAGAGUACGAAUUGAACAAUCAGUAGGAUGGCUAUGAUGAAACAAGCAGCAGGGUUUGUCAAACUAAAGGUCCGGAUUCUAAAUUCUCUGCAACACCGACAACAUCAGAUCAUUUUGGAAGACAAUAGGGUGGCGGUUCAGUGGUGAGUUGUUAUCAUAUCAAAUCCCUAAUUUUUGCUCUUGUAAUUGUUGACUAUGGGGAUUGAUUGAUAAUUGAGGGGAUCUUUUGUAUAAAUAGAAGACGCUGUUGUGGAUGGAAAAAACAAGUCCGGAGUAGCCGGUGCAUGCUGUAGUUUUGGGUUUGUUUCAAUUUUACUCAUGUUCUAAAAACCUCUGCUAGGGCAGAGAUGAAACUUCCUUUAGUAAUUAUAAUUCCUCAUGUGUUGAUUUUACUUGUUUUUCUCUAUGGGAUUUCAAUGAAAAGCAUGAUUAAUUUCUGAA